GUACACAAAAAUGCACAUACUGUGAGCUCGAUGAGUAGGGCGGGACACGUGGUAUCCUGUCUGAAUAUGGGGGGACCAUCCUCCAAGGCUAAAUACUCCUGACUGACCGAUAGUGAACCAGUACCGUGAGGGAAAGGCGAAAAGAACCCCGGCGAGGGGAGUGAAAAAGAACCUGAAACCGUGUACGUACAAGCAGUGGGAGCCUCUUAAUGGGGUGACUGCGUACCUUUUGUAUAAUGGGUCAGCGACUUAUAUUCUGUAGCAAGGUUAACCGAAUAGGGGAGCCGAAGGGAAACCGAGUCUUAACUGGGCGUUAAGUUGCAGGGUAUAGACCCGAAACCCGGUGAUCUAGCCAUGGGCAGGUUGAAGGUUGGGUAACACUAACUGGAGGACCGAACCGACUAAUGUUGAAAAAUUAGCGGAUGACUUGUGGCUGGGGGUGAAAGGCCAAUCAAACCGGGAGAUAGCUGGUUCUCCCCGAAAGCUAUUUAGGUAGCGCCUCGUGAAUUCAUCUCCGGGGGUAGAGCACUGUUUCGGCAAGGGGGUCAUCCCGACUUACCAACCCGAUGCAAACUGCGAAUACCGGAGAAUGUUAUCACGGGAGACACACGGCGGGUGCUAACGUCCGUCGUGAAGAGGGAAACAACCCAGACCGCCAGCUAAGGUCCCAAAGUCAUGGUUAAGUGGGAAACGAUGUGGGAAGGCCCAGACAGCCAGGAUGUUGGCUUAGAAGCAGCCAUCAUUUAAAGAAAGCGUAAUAGCUCACUGGUCGAGUCGGCCUGCGCGGAAGAUGUAACGGGGCUAAACCAUGCACCGAAGCUGCGGCAGCGACACUAUGUGUUGUUGGGUAGGGGAGCGUUCUGUAAGCCUGUGAAGGUGUACUGUGAGGUAUGCUGGAGGUAUCAGAAGUGCGAAUGCUGACAUAAGUAACGAUAAAGCGGGUGAAAAGCCCGCUCGCCGGAAGACCAAGGGUUCCUGUCCAACGUUAAUCGGGGCAGGGUGAGUCGACCCCUAAGGCGAGGCCGAAAGGCGUAGUCGAUGGGAAACAGGUUAAUAUUCCUGUACUUGGUGUUACUGCGAAGGGGGGACGGAGAAGGCUAUGUUGGCCGGGCGACGGUUGUCCCGGUUUAAGCGUGUAGGCUGGUUUUCCAGGCAAAUCCGGAAAAUCAAGGCUGAGGCGUGAUGACGAGGCACUACGGUGCUGAAGCAACAAAUGCCCUGCUUCCAGGAAAAGCCUCUAAGCAUCAGGUAACAUCAAAUCGUACCCCAAACCGACACAGGUGGUCAGGUAGAGAAUACCAAGGCGCUUGAGAGAACUCGGGUGAAGGAACUAGGCAAAAUGGUGCCGUAACUUCGGGAGAAGGCACGCUGAUAUGUAGGUGAAGUCCCUUGCGGAUGGAGCUGAAAUCAGUCGAAGAUACCAGCUGGCUGCAACUGUUUAUUAAAAACACAGCACUGUGCAAACACGAAAGUGGACGUAUACGGUGUGACGCCUGCCCGGUGCCGGAAGGUUAAUUGAUGGGGUUAGCGGUAACGCGAAGCUCUUGAUCGAAGCCCCGGUAAACGGCGGCCGUAACUAUAACGGUCCUAAGGUAGCGAAAUUCCUUGUCGGGUAAGUUCCGACCUGCACGAAUGGCGUAAUGAUGGCCAGGCUGUCUCCACCCGAGACUCAGUGAAAUUGAACUCGCUGUGAAGAUGCAGUGUACCCGCGGCAAGACGGAAAGACCCCGUGAACCUUUACUAUAGCUUGACACUGAACAUUGAGCCUUGAUGUGUAGGAUAGGUGGGAGGCUUUGAAGUGUGGACGCCAGUCUGCAUGGAGCCGGCCUUGAAAUACCACCCUUUAAUGUUUGAUGUUCUAACGUUGGCCCCUGAUCGGGGUUGCGGACAGUGUCUGGUGGGUAGUUUGACUGGGGCGGUCUCCUCCUAAAGAGUAACGGAGGAGCACGAAGGUUGGCUAAUCCUGGUCGGACAUCAGGAGGUUAGUGCAAUGGCAUAAGCCAGCUUGACUGCGAGCGUGACGGCGCGAGCAGGUGCGAAAGCAGGUCAUAGUGAUCCGGUGGUUCUGAAUGGAAGGGCCAUCGCUCAACGGAUAAAAGGUACUCCGGGGAUAACAGGCUGAUACCGCCCAAGAGUUCAUAUCGACGGCGGUGUUUGGCACCUCGAUGUCGGCUCAUCACAUCCUGGGGCUGAAGUAGGUCCCAAGGGUAUGGCUGUUCGCCAUUUAAAGUGGUACGCGAGCUGGGUUUAGAACGUCGUGAGACAGUUCGGUCCCUAUCUGCCGUGGGCGCUGGAGAACUGAGGGGGGCUGCUCCUAGUACGAGAGGACCGGAGUGGACGCAUCACUGGUGUUCGGGUUGUCAUGCCAAUGGCACUGCCCGGUAGCUAAAUGCGGAAGAGAUAAGUGCUGAAAGCAUCUAAGCACGAAACUUGCCCC
rnacentral:rRNA from 1 species